rnacentral:rRNA from 1 species
UACGUAGGGGGCAAGCGUUGUCCGGAAUUACUGGGCGUAAAGAGCGCGUAGGCGGCGCUGUACGACUGGUGUGAAAGCCCCCGGCUCAACUGGGGAGGGUCAUCGGUAACGGCAGUGCUCUGAGUGCAGGAGAGGGACGUGGAACUCCGGGAGUAGCGGUGAAAUGCGUAGAGACCCGGAGGAACACCAGUGGCGAAGGCGGCGUCCUGGCCUGCAACUGACGCUGUGGCGCGAAAGCUAGGGGAGCGAACGGG